GAUGAACGCUGACGGCGUGCCUAAUACAUGCAAGUCGAGCGAAAGGACGAGUAGCUUGCUUCUCUGAUGUUAGCGGCGGACGGGUGAGUAACACGUGGAUAACCUACCUAUAAGACUGGGAUAACUGCGGGAAACCGGAGCUAAUAGCGGAGAAUAUUUUGAACCGCAUGGUUCAAAAGAGAAAGACGGUCUUGCUGUCACUUAUAGAUGGAUCCGCGCUGCAUUAGCUAGUUGGUAAGGUAACGGCUUACCAAGGCAACGAUGCAUAGCCGAGCAGGGAGGCGGGUCGGCCACCCUGGAACUUGUACACGGUCCAGACUCCUACGGUAGGCAGCAGUAUGGUAUCUUCCGCAAUGGUCGAAAGCCUUACGGAGCGACGCCGCGUGAGUUAUGACGGUCUUCGGUUCGUAAUGCUCUGUUAUUAGUGAAGAACAUAUGUGUAAGUAACUGUGCACAUCUUGACGGUACCUAAUCAGAAAGCCACGGCUAACUACGUG
rnacentral:rRNA from 1 species